AACGUAGGAGGCGAGCGUUAUCCGGAAUUACUGGGCGUAAAGCGCGUGCAGGUGGAUGUUUAAGUCGAGCGUGAAAGCUCCCAGGCUCAACCGGGAGAGGACGUGCGAAACUGGACAACUAGAAGCAGACAGAGGUAAGUGGAAUUCCGGGUGUAGUGGUGAAAUGCGUAGAGAUCCGGAGGAACCCCAGUGGCGAAGGCGACUUACUGGGUCUGAUUUGACACUGAGACGCGAAAGCAUGGGGAGCGAACGGG
rnacentral:rRNA from 1 species